CGCAAUCCUUCAUUUAGUAACUGGUUGUGGAUCAUUACUUGUCCUAUAACUUUGUCGGAUGAGGUAUCUGUUGUAACGUUCUCGUUUAGUCAUUUUUGGAAAGAGUGUAGGAAUAUUCAUCCUUAGUGCUUGCAGCUGGAUUUUUCGUUCUCAUUUCUGGAUCAGUAAAGCAAAAAUCUUAGCACUUGAAUAUAAAUAAAAAAAAAACCUGUUUUUCGUAUAAUCUGUUCAUUUCUCAAGGAUCAGAGUUGGCCUAGUUUUCAACUUAUCUUUUCAGUUAAUAGUCAAAAUUUCCCUCUAGUUUGUCAGUGCACAUCCCUCGGAUUGCUUUAACAAGGUUAAUUAUAUAUGUGCACGCACAGGUAGAGGAGGUGGAUUCUGUGGCCUAUGAGCUUGCAGAUGUAGUGGGUAACG
rnacentral:lncRNA from 1 species